AUGUGUAUUGGAAACUUAAAAUACUUGACAAUAAAUAUAUCACGGGACUGUCACCAUCUACAGUCCAGGGUUAUUUGCAAGCUCAGAACAAUGUCAAGUACUAUGCAUAACCAGAUUGGCGAAGUGUUUAGGUUUGGUAACCUUGGAGACAUUUGGUGUCAUACACAUUCCCUAAUGACGCUCCGAGAUGCUGCUCGUGCUGCCUGUUUGUCUCAUGCCUUUCUACGUUCCUGGAGAUGCCAUCCCAAUCUCAUAUUUGAUCAUGGAAUACUAUGCCAGUUGAGACACGACCUCGCCAGCACAGUGAAUCACAUUUUUGAAAAUCGCUCGGGCAUUGGUGUGAAAACACUCAAACUAGAUUUCUCCUGUUACCACGAGCCCAAGGCCUAUUCAUAUCUCCAUAGGUGGCUUCGGAUAGCUGUUACACCAGGCACUGAAAAACUUGUCGUUCUGUCUGCGAGUGAUGUAGCAUUCAACUUCCCAUGCUCAAUCCUAUCUGAUGGGAACGGAAGCACGAUCCAGCAUCUUCACCUUGUUGACUGUGGCUUCCAUCCUACAGUCAGUGUUGUUUGCAUGAGGAGCCUGACAGUGCUGCAUCUCGAUCAUGUGGGAAUUACGGGGGACGAGUUAGGGUGCCUUUUUUCCGGCUGUGUUGCUUUGGAGCAGUUGAAACUCAGGAGAUGCUCCAAGAUAACUUGCUUGAAGAUACCUUCCGAGAUGCAGCGGCUCAGCUACCUGCAGGUGUCAGUAUGCCACAAACUGCGAAUGAUAAAGAACGAAGCUCCAAAUAGUUGUAGUUUUGACUUUCUAGGUGACCGUAUAGAGAUCUCACUUGGAGAUUCACUGCGACUGAAGAAACUAGAUGUGCUGUGUAACAACGUCCUCCGUUAUGCACGUGAAGAGUUCCCAUCCAGUGCGCCGAAUCUUGAAAACCUUAGCAUAUUUUCACGUCACGAGGUAGCCAAUACAGCAAUGGCGUUUGUGCCUAGCAAGUUCCUCCACCUGAAGUACUUGAGUAUUUCUAUUGCAGUAGCCUAUGAUUAUUUGUCUCUGGUUUAUUUUCUUGAUGCUGCUCCGUCCUUGGAGACAUUCAAACUGUGUGUACUGACAGGGCUAGGACCCACAGAUAAACUACUUUUGGAAGAUCGCUCACAGCUUCGGCAGAUGUCAGGAUAUUGCCAUCACAAGCUCCAGACUGUGAAGAUCUCUAGGUUCUGCUCUUCAAAGAGCAUGGUUGAGCUGACGUCCCAUAUUCUUGAAAACUCAGUAUCACUGCGGUGCCUUACAUUGGACACCACGAACUGUGGUUUCAGGUGUUCCGGCGACAGAUCUACCAGAUGCUCCUGCUUGGUUAGACCCUGGGAAGACGAUGAAGCAGUCUUGGUGAUCGAAAAAUACAUCAAGGGUAAAGUUCCCUCCACAGUCAAGCUCAUGUUGUGGAGCCAUGCAGCCAGUGUCAUGCCGUUCUACUAG
rnacentral:rRNA from 1 species